GUGCUGACAGUGCAUUUAUUGUUCAACGUACAUUAUGUUAGACACUUGCAAAUGCCUUUUGUUGCAACUGGGAGACAAGCUAAAAGGGGGCGCAGGGACAAGCUUCUGUCAGUAUUUGAUUCUCACCAGGUGCUUGUAGACUUGUAAACCACCCAACAGAGCUGUGACCAUAGUGUGACUUAAAGGUGGGGUAGGUAGGAUCUGAAUGAACAACAGUUUUUUGGGGAAAUCUUGAAAGUAAACACUAACCCUCCCCUAACGGUUUUCCCCGCAGCUCCUCCUCUCCCUUCCCUCUCUGCACAAGCGAGGCCCGCCCACAAAACAGAUGCUUGUGCACGCUCACAUCACUCCUGUUUACUGGCAAUUUAUCAACUAUCUAAAGCGUUGAAGCAUGUCUGAUUCUGAGGUAAGAAGACUUUAAAUCACAGCCCGCAUCUGAUCUAAAAUUUCUUAAAUUGCGCAUGGUCCCCCGUCGUGCAAAGGCUAUGCCGUUGUUUACUCAGGCCCUAUUUCUUGCCUGGCCUCUCUUCUUCUUGAGCGCCUGUUUUUCGGCUACAGUCCUCAGUAUUUUGCUCUUUUUCUUUAGAGUGUGGGCAGUCAUGGCCAAAAAAUGGAAACAGCUUUUUCUCCAGCUGCUUUCCACCGUCCAGUGUUGAACUACAAGAUUGUUUUGGGUCCACUUGUUCACGCAAUUUUUAGCCACGUAGCUGGCCUCUCAACCAAUCAGCACAAGGGAGCAGGGUCCACCUCACAACCAAUCAGGUCAGGGAGGUGGAGAACGGCUUUGUUUACAGUCAGAAUGAGCAUGACGCUCAAACAUCUUAAAAUGUUGACUAGACAGACAUCAGAGAACACAGCAAUAUCAUGAUAUUCUCAAAUAUCAAUAACUAAUAGUUAUUGACUGAUAUUAAAAGCUUUUUUUGUAUAUAAAUCACAAAAAAUAUUCUUCUUUCACAGAUUCCUGCCUACCCCACCCUUAACUGUGCAUGUAAACCUUGUGAGUGUAAUGGAGCAGAAUGCAUCCUGGUCAGAGCGCAGCCACAGCUAUUUGGAGUGAAUGAACUCAAAGAAAACACUGUUGAGGUCAGCUCUGCACAGCAUCUAGAUCUCUGGUGUCUUUUACACACCAACACAAAGCUCUACCAUCAGAAUCAACAAGAUACCCAAUCCCACCUCAAAGGUCAAUCAUUUAUUAAGGCAGAAACCCAAAUAUUCAUAUGCCUCAACAUGUUACAGAUCAAAGGAACCAAAACCCAGUCUUUGCGUACCCUCAGAUUCAGACGUUAAACCUUUAUCAUCUGCAUAUAAUAAUAACCCAGAUAAUAACAACUGUUUUUUUAUUUUGUGUCUUGGUUUGUUAAUCUGCAGCCACAAUUGUUAGGACUGUUACUGAUCCAACGUUAAUGCUUGUCCUCUUGUCAGCUGCUAGAGGUAGGUCACAAAGGGAAGGGGUUUGCAGGCAUCACAUCUGCGAUGUGUCUGAUUUCUGGUCGCCUUGCUUCUGUGCACAUAAAUAAAGCUUUAAAUUGCAGCAGGUUGAGGGUGGUGGGCUUUUAAAGGGUCUAAAGGGCUGUCACAAUAUUAAAUCUUCAUCUCACAAUUAUUUUGGCCAUAAUAAUGAUAUCAUCAGGGUACUUGUGUAAAACUUUACUGAUAUAAGAAGUUUCCUUGCAUGUCAUCAUCCAUUCCUGCUGUUAAAUGUAUGUUUCCACAACACCAGCCCUUAGAGAAAAAACUGGCUUCAUGAAUGAUUGAAAUGCUUUUAUUUUGAAAUUUUCUCUGUCAUGACCUUUAUUACCUGCCUGGUCAAGCUGUACAUCUAAUUCACUGUAACUUACAUAAAAUUGAAAUCAAGCAAUUGGGAAGUACAAUUAUUGACCUCUUUUAAUUUGAACACGAUUGACAGAUUAACUGUUAUCAAAGUGAACAUCCUUGUUGAUAGAUUAUUAAUUUAAUUCUCUUUAGAAACCUGGGUGUAAUGUGCUCCAGAGGACCAGAGGAGCAGUGAGGAAGAAAUGACUGAAGUCAGCAUCUCAUCCCAUUAAUGGUUAAUAGAGUUAAUUUUUUUUGAUUAACUGCCCCCACCUUUGGUAUUGAAGGUCUCGAGUGAGUCUUUACACACUUCAGCUCUGUGACAGUACAACCUCAACUGGAAAACUUCCAGAGAGGAGGUAGGAGGGAGAGCAGAGGAGAGUGAAACAGAGGUAGACAGAAAAAGACUUUUAAUGGGGUCCUUCAAAUUGAAAAGAAUUCGCCCCUGGACGUGGGAAUCCAAUUCCCUCCAAUCCAAUGGGAUUGGCAUUGAGCAGGGUAAAUAAGGAUGGAUUGUUUGUCCGUUAGCUGGCUGUGCCGUGAAUUCGCCUUUCAAAUGUAAAGUGACAGAUCCCCCCCCACACACACCAAUACACACACACAAACACGUCCACACACUCUUUAAGUCAGCUUCUCUCUUUCACCUUCCUCUCUUGCUUUCCACAGUUUCUGUCUCUAUCACACAAAACCAAGACAACUACUCCUAAUGAGGAAGCUAAAGUCACCUACACACAUUCACGACUACCCACCCACAACUCACUUCACACAAACACACACUCAGCAACACACACACACACACUGGGACUACAUCCAACAAGCAUGUGCUGUGUGGCAAAAAGCUCAUCUUUGUUUCUUCACACAAGGAGGGAAAACAUUGGGUGAGAAAGUGAGUAACUUUGCCGCCAUGAUGCAACGUGGUGUAACCUCCUGGCCAUUUCUCAGAGCAGGGAGAAAGUAAAGGGCUAUUUCAACAAUGAUAAUGAUGAUGAGGAGUGGGCACAAUAAAAAGAGACAGAUCACAAGACAGGGAGGAGAGCUGAGAGACGAGGACAAGAAAAGGUUACCAUCCGGGGGCAGGGAACAGAAAGUGAGUGCUAUUAAAGAUAUACGCAGCUGCAAAAGCUUGAAGGAUAUCAACAAGCACACUCGUACAGGUAGAAAUGUGGCAUUAAUGAUCUGUGACUUUAAAUCAAUAUCAGCAGGUGGCAGCUGGUUGCAUGCAGUUAUGCUUUUCUAUGUCUUCUCCUCAAAUUACAUUCAAGGCAGAAACUAAUGUCUGUACAUUAAGCCUGAAGCCAAGCUCUGCAUCCAAGCAUAU